UACGUAGGGUGCGAGCGUUGUCCGGAAUUAUUGGGCGUAAAGAGCUCGUAGGCGGUGUGUCACGUCGUUCGUGAAAACCUGCAGCUUAACUGUGGGCGUGCGGUCGAUACGGGCAUCACUGGAGUUCGGCAGGGGAGACUGGAAUUCCUGGUGUAGCGGUGAAAUGCGCAGAUAUCAGGAGGAACACCGAUGGCGAAGGCAGCCUUCUGGGCCAACACUGACGCUCAUGCACGAAAGCGUGGGGAGCAAACAGG
rnacentral:rRNA from 1 species